UACAGAGGUCUCAAGCGUUGUUCGGAUUCAUUGGGCGUAGAGGGUGCGUAGGCGGCGCGGUAAGUCGGGUGUGAAAUCUCGGAGCUUAACUCCGAAACUGCAUUCGAUACUGCCGUGCUUGAGGACUGGAGAGGAGACUGGAAUUUACGGUGUAGCGGUGAAAUGCGUAGAUAUCGUAAGGAAGACCAGUGGCGAAGGCGGGUCUCUGGACAGUUCCUGACGCUGAGGCACGAAGGCCAGGGGAGCAAACGGG
rnacentral:rRNA from 1 species